rnacentral:SRP_RNA from 1 species
CGGUGGUGAGGGAUCGGGGAGCUAGCCGUUCCCUGUAACCCGAAAUCGGCUACACGCGGGGGUCCGUUAACCAUGAUGGAAGGAAUCUUAGAACGCCGAAUGCCUAAACCGCUGACGAAGACCUCCUGCUCCACCGGGCUCGCGGAGAGGCGUCGUUCCUUGGAGGAGGAGCGGUAGCCUCCUCACCACCAAACCCGGCGAGGCUCGGGAGAGAGCGGCCGUAAGGUGGACGUGGAGCGCUGGUGGAAUCACAGGAGCGAGAAAGCGGUUUAGAAACAGCGGCGUUCCAAAGGUUUCGACCAUCAUGGGAUGUCACCACCG